rnacentral:rRNA from 1 species
UACGAAGGGUGCAAACGUUGCUCGGAAUUAUUGGGCGUAAAGCGCACGUAGGCGGCUUUGUAAGUCGGAUGUGAAAUCCCUCGGCUUAACCAAGGAAGUGCAUCCGAAACUGCAAGGCUUGAGUACUUAAGAGGAUCGCGGAAUUCCCGGUGUAGAGGUGAAAUUCGUAGAUAUCGGGAGGAACACCAGUGGCGAAGGCGGCUCACUGGACGACUGUUGACGCUGAGGUGCGAAAGCGUGGGGAGCAAACAGG